rnacentral:rRNA from 1 species
CCUACGGGGGGCAGCAGUGGGGAAUAUUGCACAAUGGGGGAAACCCUGAUGCAGCAACGCCGCGUGAGUGAUGACGGCCUUCGGGUUGGAAAGCUCUGUCUUCAGGGACGAGAAUGACGGUACCUGAGGAGGAAGCCACGGCUAACUACGGGCCAGCAGCCGCGGGAAUACGUAGGUGGCGAGCGUUGUCCGGAUUUACUGGGCGUAAAGGGAGCGUAGGCGGACUUUUAAGUGAGAUGUGAAAUCCUCGGGCUCAACUUGAGUGCUGCAUUUCAAACUGGAAGUCUAGAGUGCAGGAGAGGUGACUGGCAUUCCUAGUGUCGCGGUGAAAUGCGUCGAGAUUAGGAAGAACACCAGUGGCGAAGGCGAUUCUCUGGACUGUACCUGACGCUGAGGCUCGAAAGCGUGGGGAGCAAACAGGAUUAGAUACCCUGGUAGUC